UGUCUCUUGCCAUCCUUGGGUCUAAGCUGUCUGGCAUUUAGUUGUCGGGCAGUGGCUGCCCAUCGUUUACUGUGAAAAAAUUAGAGUGUUCAAAGCAGGCUUAUGCCGUUGAAUAUAUUAGCAUGGAAUAAUAAGAUAGGACCUUGGUACUAUUUUGUUGGUUUGCGCACCGAGGUAAUGAUUAAGAGGGACAGUUGGGGGUAUUCGUAUUCAAUUGUCAGAGGUGAAAUUCUUGGAUUUCUGGAAGACGAACUACUGCGAAAGCAUUUACCAAGGAUGUUUUCAUUAAUCAAGAACGAAAGUUAGGGGAUCGAAGAUGAUUAGAUACCAUCGUAGUCUUAACCAUAAACUAUGCCGACUAGGGAUUUGUGGGUGUUAUUUUUGACCCCAUGAGCACCUUAUGAGAAAUCAAAGUCUUUGGGUUCCGGGGGGAG
rnacentral:rRNA from 1 species